UGUGUUCCCCAGGCAGGUUGGUGACCCCAUCCUGGGUUAAGAAGCAAUCCCUGAGGCAGAGCUCGGUGCUGAAUCCGGAGCUUCCCAACAGGAGCGGUGCCUCCCUGUGACUCAAGCAGAGAUGGGAGAAGGGCUCUCCAGAGGAGGAUACCUGGAUAGCACAUCUGCAGAGUGCUGCACAUCAGUAUUAUGCAUCCCAGCUAAAGGGUAAAAUCAUCCCAGGGCCAAGAACUAGAGGACAUGUAUCUGCUAUUUUGGAGCAUGAAGAGGAUGUAUUGAUGGAGAAAUAAGUCCUAAUAGAGCGAGUGCAAUUCAGAAAAUUCAAAUGUGCCCCAUUUGCUCUGCAUGGAUUGCACUGCUGUGUAGAGGAUGCAGUUUCUCCAUUUGGACAACCAUCAGCUAAAUUAUAUAGUAACAAGGCCAUUGCAGGGAAACUUUGGAAAAAGGACUCAGCUUGAAAAGGAGUGACAAAACAGCGGGAAGCCUGGAUGUUUGUGAGCACAAAUUAACAUUUCUCAAGUACUCAACACAGUGGUUCAUCUGCUCUGUGGUCAGUAUUGAUCUGAAUAGGUAGGUCAGAG